rnacentral:rRNA from 1 species
UGGUGAAUAUUGGACAAUGGGCGAAAGCCUGAUCCAGCCAUGCCGCGUGUGUGAAGAAGGUCUUCGGAUUGUAAAGCACUUUAAGUUGGGAGGAAGGGCAUUAACCUAAUACGUUAGUGUUUUGACGUUACCGACAGAAUAAGCACCGGCUAACUCUGUGCCAGCAGCCGCAGUAAUACAGAGGGUGCAAGCGUUAAUCGGAAUUACUGGGCGUAAAGCGCGCGUAGGUGGUUUGUUAAGUUGGAUGUGAAAUCCCCGGGCUCAACCUGGGAACUGCAUUCAAAACUGACUGACUAGAGUAUGGUAGAGGGUGGUGGAAUUUCCUGUGUAGCGGUGAAAUGCGUAGAUAUAGGAAGGAACACCAGUGGCGAAGGCGACCACCUGGACUAAUACUGACACUGAGGUGCGAAAGCGUGGGGAGCAAACA